UACAGAGGUCUCAAGCGUUGUUCGGAUUCAUUGGGCGUAAAGCGCACGUAGGCGGCUUUCUAAGUCGGGGGUGAAAUCCUGGAGCUCAACUCCAGAACUGCCUUCGAUACUGGAGUAGCUUGGAGUCCGGGAGAGGUGAGUGGAACUGCGAGUGUAGAGGUGAAAUUCGUAGAUAUUCGCAAGAACACCAGUGGCGAAAGGCG
rnacentral:rRNA from 1 species